AUCAUAAAAGGAAAAUAGAGUAACUAUUAUAAAUAAGAUAUCACAAAUACAAUGCAUGUCGAAUCCUAGAAAGAAACCACAUAAGAUCUAAUGCUUGUUUGGUACAGAUUUUAAGUUAAUUAAAAUCAAUUUUUAACCGUUAUUUCAUUAUUCCAGCCGUCAUUUUUGAAUUUUUCUCUCACAGGUAGGACCCACUUUAUCUCUAACGGUCAAAAAAUCAAUUAUCAAAAUCCCUACAAAACAAGCACCUAAUCUGAGCAUGGUCAAUUUUUUUUUACUUGUAAUACAACCAUCCUGCAAGUUAAUCAACGUAGAUAGUCUUGAGUUUAUAUUAUUUACCGCAAUAAUGUUUUGGAUUUUUUUUUAAUCUUAUAAGCCUAGAUUUUUGUCAUAUGGACUUCCAGCAUAUAAAUGGUGUAAGUUUGCUGUUGGGCCACUUAUUGAGGUCUGUAGGAAUGUGAAGUCUUAAUAUUUUCCUCCUCUUUCAGUUCACAACUGCGUCCUGUGGGAUUGAAUUAGUCUGAGAUUCUUGAACUGUAGACCACCCUCAUUCCUGAAUUAAACACUUGUGCCUUGCACAACUUCUGCAAAGGUUUUCUGUAGUGUAUAACAAGUUAGAUAAUUAUCUUUUGUCCACUUAUGUUUCGAUAAAGCAAGGAUUCUCCCAAGGAUGAGACAGAAAAUUUAUGCUUUUGGCAUUUUGGUAGGAGUAAAUGUGGAGAAUUUCUAUGAUAAUGAGUU
rnacentral:lncRNA from 1 species